GACUCCAACCCUACGUCCUUCCCCUUCUUCGUCCUUCUCGCCGAUCUCUCCUCCACCAUUUAGAGUUGGGGAAGGUGAACCUCCGCCUUCUUGGGAUCCAGUACCAACUCCAGAAGUUCUACAAUGAGUCUAUCACUGCGAGAUCGCAUUAGAAAGAGGAGGGAGGAGGAAGAUGAUGACAUGAUGCUAUUUAUUUUCCCUGCCUUAUAUCUUAUGAGUUCUGUUAGAGGGGGAGAAAGGAGGAAACGCCAUACUUCGGAAGAAACAGGCGAGGUUAAAGUUCGUAGACUCCUC